ensembl:lncRNA
UUCUCCAUGUUGUUCUCAAUGUUGAUCUCAAUGUUGUUCUACAUGUUGGUCUUCAUGUUGUUCUCCAUGUAGUUCUCCAUGUUGGUCUCCAUGUUGAUCUCCAUGUUGUUCUCCAUGUUGUUCUCCAUGUAGGUCUCCAUGUUGGUCUCCAUGUUGUUCUCCAUGUUGGUCUCCGUUUUGGUCUCCGUGUUGGUCUCCAUGUAGGUCUCCAUGUUGUUCUCCAUGUUGGUCUCCAUGUUGGUCUCCGUGUAGUUCUCCGUGUUGGUCUCCGUGUUGUUCUCCGUGUUGGUCUCCGUGUUGUUCUCCAUGUUGGUCUCCGUGUUGUUCUCCGUGUUGGUCUCCGUGUUGUUCUCCAUGUUGGUCUCCGUGUUGGUCUCCGUGUUGGUCUCC